UGGGGAAUAUUGGACAAUGGGCGCAAGCCUGAUCCAGCCAUGCCGCGUGAGUGAUGAAGGCCUUAGGGUUGUAAAGCUCUUUUAUCCGGGACGAUAAUGACGGUACCGGAGGAAUAAGCCCCGGCUAACUUCGUGCCAGCAGCCGCGGUAAUACGAAGGGGGCUAGCGUUGCUCGGAAUCACUGGGCGUAAAGGGCGCGUAGGCGGCGUUUUAAGUCGGGGGUGAAAGCCUGUGGCUCAACCACAGAAUGGCCUUCGAUACUGGGACGCUUGAGUAUGGUAGAGGUUGGUGGAACUGCGAGUGUAGAGGUGAAAUUCGUAGAUAUUCGCAAGAACACCGGUGGCGAAGGCGGCCAACUGGACCAUUACUGACGCUGAGGCGCGAAAGCGUGGGGAGCAAACAGG
rnacentral:rRNA from 6 species